rnacentral:rRNA from 1 species
GGGGAAUAUUGCACAAUGGGCGCAAGCCUGAUGCAGCGACGCCGCGUGAGGGAUGAAGGCCUUCGGGUUGUAAACCUCUUUCAGUAGGGAACAAGCGUAAGUGAGGGUACCUGCAGAAGAAGCGCCGGCUAACUACGUGCCAGCAGCCGCGGUAAUACGUAGGGCGCAAGCGUUAUCCGGAAUUAUUGGGCGUAAAGAGCUCGUAGGCGGUUUGUCGCGUCUGCCGUGAAAGUCCGGGGCUCAACUCCGGAUCUGCGGUGGGUACGGGCAGACUAGAGUGCAGUAGGGGAGACUGGAAUUCCUGGUGUAGCGGUGAAAUGCGCAGAUAUCAGGAGGAACACCGAUGGCGAAGGCAGGUCUCUGGGCUGUAACUGACGCUGAGGAGCGAAAGCAUGGGGAGCGAACA